UACGAAGGGUGCAAGCGUUACUCGGAAUCACUGGGCGUAAAGCGUGCGUAGGCGGUUCGUUAAGUCUGAUGUGAAAUCCCCGGGCUCAACCUGGGAAUGGCAUUGGAUACUGGCUCGCUAGAGUGCGGUAGAGGGUGGUGGAAUUUCCUGUGUAGCGGUGAAAUGCGUAGAUAUAGGAAGGAACACCAGUGGCGAAGGCGACCACCUGGACUGAUACUGACACUGAGGUGCGAAAGCGUGGGGAGCAAACAGG
rnacentral:rRNA from 1 species